rnacentral:misc_RNA from 1 species
GGUAUAUCAUAAAAUCAAAUACAGUCUAUGAGUGCUGUCCAGGAUGGAAGUCUUCUAACAACAUUGACUGCAACUUAGCCAUCUGUUACGGCAAGGACAACACUAACGGAGCCUGUAACCAGAGAGGAAGCUGCGUUGCACCAAACAGGUGUUCCUGUCACACUGGAUAUACUGGAUCACAAUGUGAAAAAUGUCUUGAUGCUCGUGCAGAUCCUGAACAUUUCAUCUGGUGGCACACCAACAGCCAUCCGGACUGCGCUCUGACCUGUUCGUGGAAGAACCAAUGGUGUUGGCCUGGGGACUGCCCAGACAGAAGAUUGAGGACAUCCUGUAAAUGUCGGAACGGCUUUGUGAAGCAUGAUGGAGGUUCCAGAUACACAAAGUGUGACCUUGUUGAGAAGCCCCAACUUCUAACGUGCCACAUUGGGAUGACGGAUGCACAUCACAGCGUGAGAAGCUCCACACAUGGCUCUCACUCUGGAUGCCAGUAUGAAUCGGACACAUAUGUUAACUUGAAUCCCAU